rnacentral:rRNA from 1 species
AGAUUGAACGCUGGCGGCGUGCCUAACACAUGCAAGUCGAGCGGUAACAGGUGUAGCAAUACAUGCUGACGAGCGGCGAACGGGUGAGUAAUGCUUCGGAAUCUGCCCAUGUAGUGGGGAAUAACCAGCCGAAAGGUUGGCUAAUACCGCAUACGACCUACGGGUGAAAGCAGGGGAUCGCAAGACCUUGCGCUAUUGGAUGAGCCGAAGUCGGAUUAGCUAGUUGGUAGGGUAACGCCUACCAAGGCGACAAUCCGUAGCUGGUCUGAGAGGACGACCAGCCACACGUGGGACUG